UGAAAUGAGAUUUUCUAAAUUGUCGUA
rnacentral:sRNA from 1 species